rnacentral:rRNA from 1 species
AUGGCGAUGGAGGCGAUCUUGCGCUCCGUCCCAGAGGAGAUGGUGCUCACCCUUGGCGCCAAGAAGACGGCCAAGGAAGCAUGGGAGACCAUCAAGACUCUGCGCAUCGGCGUGGAGCGCGUACGAGAGUCGAAGGCCCAGACCUUGCGCCUCCAGUACGAGGAGAUCCGGUUCAAGGCCGGUGAACAAGUCGAUGACUUCGCCUUGCGGCUGCAAGGUCUCGUCAACGAGAUCACAAUGCUCGGAGAUCCCAUCGACAACAAGAUGGUGAUUCUCAAGUUUCUCCGCGUCGUCCCCAGGCAGUACAAGCAACUGGCCUGGUCCAUCAAGAGCUUGGUGGAUCUCUCCACCAUGACGAUCGAGGAGCUAGUAGGGCGGCUGAAGGUCGUCGAGGAGCGCGGCGACGACGCCAACAACCGUGCUGGCGGCGAACUACUGCUCACCAGGGAGCAGUGGGACGUGCAGCUUCAGCAGCGCGGCCGCGACGGCUCUUCUGGCAGUGGGGGAGGCGCCCCCACGGGAAGCAGAGGUCGCGGCAGAGGCGGAGGCCGCGCCCAGAGCGGUGGCGGCAACCGCGGUCGCAGGCCAAGCCAGGCAGGGCGAGGCGCUAGCAACGGUGGCAAGUGCCGCUACUGCAACAUGCCAGGUCACUGGAUCCAGGAUUGCCACAGGAGGAAAGCCGACGAGGCAGCCGCGGCAACGGCAAACCUCGUCCAGGCUGACGUGGAUGGUGGGCCGGCAAUGAUGCUGGCAAGAGUCGAGCCCGUGCAGGAGAGCUCAGCGUCUCCCACGACCACGGCCCCGACAUCCACCCAUUCCGUGCAGGAGGCACGGAGCCCGUCCACGGGAACCAUCACUCCAGUGACAGGCCACACCUCGACAAUGACGUUCUCGGGGCCUGUCGACUGGGAGGCGAUGAAGGAUCGGGUGUGGGGGAGCCACACCCUGGCAACGGCGUCCCCGACAGCCUCGGGACCCGACAAGAUCGCGCAAGUUGGCGCGGCAAUGACGCAUAUGGCGGACCAUGCUCCGACCAUGAUGCUGGCGACCAUCGACUCCGUGUAG